rnacentral:rRNA from 1 species
AACGAACGCUGGCGGCACGCUUAACACAUGCAAGUCGAACGGAGGUACUUGUACCUCAGUGGCAAACGGGUGAGUAACACGUGGGAAUCUACCUUUCGGUGGGGGAUAACUGGGGGAAACUUCAGCUAAUACCGCAUGCGCUCAGAAAUGAGGAAAGAUUUAUCGCCGAGAGAGGAGCCCGCGUCAGAUUAGGUAGUUGGUGGGGUAAUGGCCUACCAAGCUUGCGAUCUGUAGCUGGUCUGAGAGGAUGAUCAGCCACACUGGGAUUGAGAGACGGCCCAGACUCCUACGGGAGGCAGCAGUGGGGAAUAUUGGACAAUGGGGGAAACCCUGAUCCAGCGAUGCCGCGUGGAUGAAGAAGGCCUUCGGGUUGUAAAGUCCUUUCACCCGUGAAGAUAAUGACGGUAGCGGGAGAAGAAGCCCCGGCUAACUCUGUGCCAGCCGCCGCAGUAACAC